UACGGAGGGUGCAAGCGUUAUCCGGAUUCACUGGGUUUAAAGGGUGCGUAGGUGGAUUAGUAAGUCAGUGGUGAAAUCUCCGGGCUUAACCCGGAAACUGCCAUUGAUACUAUUAGUCUUGAAUACAGUGGAGGUCAGCGGAAUAUGUCAUGUAGCGGUGAAAUGCUUAGAUAUGACAUAGAACACCAAUUGCGAAGGCAGCUGGCUACACGAGCAUUGACACUCAGGCACGAAAGCGUGGGGAUCAAACAGG
rnacentral:rRNA from 1 species